UUAGAGUUUGAUCCUGGCUCAGGACGAACGCUGGCGGCGUGCAUAACACAUGCAAGUUGAACGAGAAGUUCUUUUGGAAAUCUUCGGAAGGAAAAAGGAAUGGAAAGUAGCGGACGGGUGAGUAACGCGUGAGAAACCUGCCUCACACAAGGGGAUAGCCAUUGGAAACGGUGAUUAAUACCCUAUGACAUGGACGCUUCGCAUGGAGCAGCCAUUAAAGUGUUAGCGGUGUGAGAUGGUCUCGCGUCUGAUUAGCUAGUUGGUGAGAUAAAAGCUCACCAAGGCAACGAUGCGUAGCCGACCUGAGAGGGUGAUCGGCCACACUGGGACUGAGACACGGCCCAGACUCCUACGGGAGGCAGCAGUAGGGAAUCUUCCGCAAUGGACGAUAGUCUGACGGAGCGACGCCGCGUGAAUGAUGAAGGUCUUANGAUCGUAAAAUUCUGUUGGUAGGGAUGACAAGUGUGAGAGUAACUGCUCACCCUUGACAGUACUUAACAGAAAGCCCCGGCUAACUACGUGCCAGCAGCCGCGGUAAUACGUAGGGGGGCAAGCGUUGGUCCGGAAUUAUGGGGCGUAAAGGGUACGCACGCGGUUUUUUUAAGUCGGAUGGGAAAUCUCAUAGCCUAGCUGGGAACGGUCUUGGAAACUGAAGAACUUGAUUAUAAAAAAGAAAAGGGAACUUCCAGGUGGGGCGGUGAAAUGCGUAAAUAUUUUGGAGGAAACCCAGUGGACGAAGGCGACUUCUUUUGUCUUUUUACUGACGCU
rnacentral:rRNA from 1 species